rnacentral:rRNA from 1 species
CCUACGGGAGGCAGCAGUGGGGAAUUUUGGACAAUGGGCGAAAGCCUGAUCCAGCAAUGCCGUGUGUGGGAAGAAGGCCUUCGGGUUGUAAACCACUUUUGUACGGAACGAAACGGCUCGCUUUAAUACAGCGGGCUAAUGACGGUACCGUAAGAAUAAGCACCGGCUAACUACGUGCCAGCAGCCGCGGUAAUACGUAGGGUGCGAGCGUUAAUCGGAAUUACUGGGCGUAAAGCGUGCGCAGGCGGUUAUAUAAGACAGUUGUGAAAUCCCCGGGCUCAACCUGGGAAUUGCAUCUGUGACUGUAUAGCUAGAGUACGGUAGAGGGGGAUGGAAUUCCGCGUGUAGCAGUGAAAUGCGUAGAUAUGCGGAGGAACACCGAUGGCGAAGGCAAUCCCCUGGACCUGUACUGACGCUCAUGCACGAAAGCGUGGGGAGCAAACAGGAUUAGAUACCCUGGUAGUCCACGCCCUAAACGAUGUCAACUGGUUGUUGGGUGCAUUAGUACUCAGUAACGAAGCUAACGCGUGAAGUUGACCGCCUGGGGAAGUCGGCCGCAAGGUUGAAACUCAAAUGAAAUUGACGGCUGAGAGNGCGACGGACGACGACGAGGGAGGAGG